rnacentral:lncRNA from 1 species
GGUUGUUGUUUCUUUGACAUAUUCCCCAUUUCCAUUGUCAAUUUUACUAGUUAACAACUGUUCUUUAAAAAGGGUUGUCGUCCCUUUUGUAAGCCUUGUCAUUUUCUUGACCAUCGAUUUUGACUCAUUGUACAAAGAGGAUUAGAUAUGAUUGUUUUGUCAAAUAUAAUUGUAUUUUUAGUUAAAAACAUUUCAUAUUUUACAUAUCGGCUAUAGGGUUUUAUAAAAAUUCGGUUUUAAAAACUGUUACAGGAAUUGAAACAGGAUGGUUUUGUGUGACGAAAACAGACUUUUAAGCAUGCAAUCUUCAUGAUAUUCUUUAUAUAAUUAUAUGAUUACGUUCCACCUACGUUAUACAUGUAUUUUAGAUUUAAGUGGCAAUCUGCCUAAAAAAUCAGGCAGUGGUGAAAACAUGACAAACAAAACCCCACUCAAAUUGACAUUAGUUUAUGUUCAAAAUUUAUAAUGAUGCACAAAAACAGCAUUCGUUUCCUUGUCCGGUUCUGGUAAUUAAAGAUAUAAUUUGGUUACAAUGCACUAGAAAUGUUUUGAUUUUCUGCAAAAUUGUCUGAUUCUUACAUAGACUGGCAAUUAAAUGCAUUUCUCAACUUAAUAAUAAAAGCAUUGUUAUAACUUAACAUUUAAUGUUUGACAUUAAACGAAACAUUCACAAAUUUAAAAUGAUAGAAACUUAC